CCCGCCAGCCUGGAGCUGUCCCCGCCAGGGACAUCCCGGCCUUAGGCUCCGGAUCGCGCACGCCGAGAACGAGGCGCGUGGUCCCAGGCACUGGCGGGGCCUGCCCGGCGUGAACCGCAGCGGAGCCGGAGAUCCAGGACCAGGGAACUGGGAGCGGGCGACGCCUCCUCUCUCUCUGCCUGGCCACCGCCGCCGGGAAACCCGCCUGGGAAGCGGCACCGAACGCGCGCUCGUGGGCAGCUCGGUCCGGAGGAGGCGCGGAGGAUCAGACCCGGGAUCACCUGCGCGCCUCCCAUAGGGUCGGGCAGUGCUGUCCCACUUGUCACCACGGCGCGGCCGCGUGGCGCCGCAGUCUGCUUCCUAUCUCUGCCCGUGGCAGAGGCCUGGGGUGACAGGGACACUGCCUCCUGGCUGCAGAGCUUUGCUUGAUUCCAUCCCAGCUCUGGGGUUGGGAGGGGGAGCGUUUUUCAUCUCCUCGCAGAGCCGCGCGAGGCAUCGGAAAGUUUCCUGCUACUUGGGGGACAGAGGAGGAAGAAGUGCUGGCCUGCUUUCUAAGAUGGCCUGGAAAGCACAGGAGUCCAGCAGGCGAGCCCCCCUGGGCGCCUCCGCUGGUCACCCGGACGUACACUCCUUUCCAGCACAGGGGAGGAGGCCCUGCUCACGCAGUGGGCCCGACUGGGGACCACGCACCCCACCCGGGGUGAGGACGGGAGUCCCAGGAACCCUCUGCCCGCGCCGCAUCGGGGCCGGUCCUGCUUAGCGCAGACAGUGGGCCGUGCCCGCCUUUGUGCCCCCACCCACAGGUGUUGCCCUCUCUGCAGCCUCGAUGGAAGGGGAGCUGGAGGCCACUCUCCCAGAAUAACAGAGUUCAAGACUUCAGGGACCAGUGGGACUCCACUGCCCCAGAGGUUCUGAAGUACCCCACAGGGGCCCCACGCGCCUGCUGUAUAUCCCUGAUGUAACUGAACCACGAGCCCUGGGUGGCCACGUCCCGGAACCUUGCUCACUGAAGAAGUUCAGCUGAGCCUCAGGUGGUGUCUUUCCCUGGCCUAACCAGGACCCAGCAGCCAAGCUGAGGCCAGAGGUGUGCAGGUUUUUUAAAGACCCACAUCUUAUAAACGCCUCCACGGCAGAGUUCUACGCACUGCCCCCGGCCCCAGGGUGUGUCCACAGCGCCCACCCGCGGCCUCGAAGCACCUCCAGAGCAGGUCUUUGGGAGUUAACCAGCAAACCGACCUGCAACUGCCAAAACCUCCGCCAGAGGCCUUAAAACCUAGGACCCAUCCGACGGUUCGCCUCGUCCAUGCAAGCGUGCGUUCAUCAGCCUGGCACGCGCGCACGCGACAACACGAAUCCACGGACGGCGCCCGGGGAGCCGCGCCCAGCCCGGGCUGCAGGCUGAGAACGCGCGCCCCGCUUGCCCUCCUCCUCCCGCUCAGCCCCGGCCCCUCACCAAGGGGACAACAGCUCAAUUACGAAAAGGAGCGAAAGAACCAGUUCCCGGCUCCGAGGCGCCCGCGGACGCUCCUUGGGUCCCAGGUCCCCGUCGCACAGUCCCCACCCCCACCGUCCUCAGCGCGGGGAGGGCGGGGACGCAGCGGUGCGAGGGGUCCUGGCCUGCUCCGCCGAAACAAAGCCCGCCGCGGGAUACCGCGGCCGCGCACCGAGCUGGCGACAAAGGCGAGCGGCGGGCAAGAGCCACGCUCCGAGCCUGCGCUCCUCGGGCCGGGCGGGAAGGAAUCCCGAAAGAUGGGUGCGAUUUGCACCCGCUUGUUUCUGGGUUGCAGUCUCCCGCUCCUGUGCACUCAAUGACCUGUUAGGGUGUCUCAGCAUUUAUCUCGCCUUUCCGCGCCCAUCUGCCUCUCUCCUGUUCCCUCGGUCCCUAGCCUCCUCCAUGGGGUUAGUCCUCCUCUCUCCUUCUCCCUUACUGCAUUCUCACUCUGCCCUUUUUACCUUUCCCUUUUUCUUUGCCAUAAAAAAGCAAUGCUAAUUCGACUUCUGCUGGCCGCUCUACGCGUCAAAUCGCAUUUUUCAAGGCCUUUCUGGGCAGUGCUCAGGAAGAAAGGGUGAGACAUGGGGUCCUUUUAAUUUUAGUACGCAAGCUGUACGCUAAAUAAAAUAAAACGCCAGGAGAGUGGAUCUAAAGAAGCCAAGCUCGGCCCUGAGGCCCCACACACUACCCCACUCGGGAGGAAUCCCGCGGGGGCCCGCAAAUCACGCGCCGGCGAGGGUGGAGGCCAACGGAGGACCCAAGCCUCGGCCUCUCCAAGGCAAACACUGGGGAAAGUUCUUAUCCUUCGUUCCAGCUCGGGAGGGGAACCGCUGGCCAGAUCCCUCCGAUAAAGUCCUAGUAUUUUCGAAUUUAGGAGACUUUCAUAGUGGAUGUUUUUCCAAGUGAAGUUUCACUGGGUGGUUUUGUGAUGUGAAUUAAAAAUAAAAGGACUGCUGCCCACCCCACUAGAGCAAUAUAAGAUACACCUUGACUUCCGGAGAUGUUUGCACCUUGCUUUAAUACUGAAUUAACAUUUAAUGCCUAUCAAGUGCUACACUAGGCUCAGGAUCCUUCCCUCAGGCUUUUAUUAACCAAGUUCCCCACAGAAAUUUUGGAGAGAGGGCUGAGCGUUCAAAGCAAUGCCGGACACAGAACUUUUAAGUUGGGACUAACUCGUCCGAGCUGGAACUGCAAGAAGCUAUGUGAGUUAGGUCGAUUAAAUGAUAUUGCUGCAAAUUGUGGAGUAUUUGAAGCACUGGAUACGAAUGAAUACACUGCUUUUAAAGUGAACAAUAGAAACAUAGAAACGCUUUCUAUUUCUAACACCUCUGAGGCUGGCCAGGCCUGUGGGCACCGGGGUGGGUUAGAGCCCGGGAUGCAGCUUAGCAGUGGGGUGGCAGCCGCAGCAUUCAGAAGCGGAGACCCAGCACAGCAGCGUUUGGUGGAAAUGCCCAAAAGAGCAGCCCUUGGCCUGACACACUGCAAGCUGCACCCACCUCCUCGGACAAUAGCUGGGUUCAGAUGUCAAAAAAAUCUAAUAAAAAAGAGGCACCA
ensembl:lncRNA